rnacentral:rRNA from 1 species
GGAUGCCCUGGCAGUCAGAGGCGAUGAAGGGCGUGCUAAUCUGCGAUAAGCGCCGGUAAGGUGAUAUGAACCGUUAUAACCGGCGAUACCCGAAUGGGGAAACCCAGUGUGACUCGUCACACUAUCAUUAACUGAAUCCAUAGGUUAAUGAGGCGAACCGGGGGAACUGAAACAUCUAAGUACCCCGAGGAAAAGAAAUCAACCGAGAUUCCCCCAGUAGCGGCGAGCGAACGGGGAGGAGCCCAGAGCCUGAAUCAGCAUGUGUGUUAGUGGAAGCGUCUGGAAAGGCGCGCGAUACAGGGUG